GGUGGAACGAACGCUGCGCGCUAUCGCUCUAAAUAAAUUACGGAUGCCGAGACGCGUUCGCUAAACUCAUCAGGCUCUGCACGGUCUCGCACUCGCGACGGGUGCUGCGUUCCCUCCCUCGCACCAACCGCUUCCUCGAGGUCGAGCAGCCGUCACGUGCCGACCAUAUCGCUCGAGCCCGCCACAGACUGGAGUCAAUCGGCGAAGCGAUAAGUAUAAUCUGUGCUCGGCAGCAGCCUACGUUUGGGAGGCAUUUCUCCCGUCGAUUCAAGACCAGACCGGCCGUCGUGACAAGUGUGGUCACGAUGACGUUCCGCUGCUGCGUUCCUUCGGCAUUGCUUCUGUUGGUUCUGGCAUGUUGCUCGGCCUUCGCUACGACACGGAUGUAUGAAGUUCCCACGGAGUCUGACCAUUCCUGGAGGCCCCGCGUGGUCGUUCCGACACGCGGCGAGGUAUGGCCUCGGCCCCUGAACCAGACCAAGAGCCGCAAUACUCUCUCUGUGGACGCAAGCACGUUCUCGUUCCAAUACGAUGGCCCCUGCUUCGUGGUGCAGCAGGCAAUCAGGCGCUAUCGCCGUGGCAUUUUAUUCCAAAACUGCACGAAACCCGGCACAUCAAGAGCGGCCGAACGCGCUCACGCUUGCCACGCUGUGAAUCCCCACACUCCGCCAUCUGAUGGUCGCCUCGACGUUCUGCGAGUGAUGGUGCUUAGUGAGUGCGAGGACCUCCCGGACCACGACAUGGAUGAAAGCUACACACUUUCUUUAUCAUCUGUUGACAAGUCUUUCAUCUCUGCUCGAACCGUUUGGGGCGCGCUGAGAGGACUGGAAACCUUUAGCCAGCUUUUCUAUUCACCCGAUGGAGUGUCGUGGGUCGUGAAUGAGACGGUGAUCUACGACGAGCCGAGAUUUCCGCACCGUGGCUUGCUGAUCGAUUCGUCGCGACACUUCCUGCCACUGGAGUCGAUAAUGGACACGUUGGACGCAAUGUCGUACAACAAGAUGAACGUUCUCCACUGGCACAUCGUGGACGACGAAUCAUUUCCCUACGUGAGCAAGGCGUUUCCAAGUAUGAGCAAAAAGGGUGCCUACGACCCGUACAUCCGCGUAUACCGGCCAGCAGACGUGCAACAUGUCAUCAGUGAAGCUGCUGCCAGGGGUAUUCGCGUCAUGGUGGAAUUUGACACGCCUGGACACACCCGAUCGUGGGGUGCGGCGUUUCCCGAUCUCCUAACCACUUGCUACAAAGGCAUGGAGCCCGACGGCGAUCUCGGACCUAUCGACCCCACUACAAAUGACACAUACAUUUUUCUUAAGGAGCUGUUCACUGAGGUGGCCGGCGUGUUUCCCGACCAGUAUAUUCACUUGGGAGGAGACGAAGUCAGCUUCGACUGCUGGAAAUCCAACCCCAAUAUCAAAAAUUUCAUGGCCAUGAUUGGUAUUUCCGGUGACUACAAGAAGCUCGAAGAGUUUUAUAUACAAAGGUUGCUGAAAAUUGUGCAAGAGGUACGGAAGAGCUACAUGGUGUGGCAGGAAGUAUUCGACAACAACGUUGAGAUUGCGCCUGACACAGUGGUACAUGUCUGGAAAGACCCCUACGAGAAGGAAAUGAGUGCCGUGACGGCAGCCGGGUUCAGUGCGCUCUUAUCCAGCUGCUGGUACUUGGACUACAUCGGCUAUGGUCGCGACUGGGAGAACUACUACUCCUGCGAUCCGCAUAACUUCACAGGCCUAGGGCGUCCGCAGUGGCCGAGAGACUCUGGAGCCCCGCCUGGGUGAAGUACUCAGAAAGAACAGCGUCUCGGUUCGAAGAACAGCGUUGCAGGAUGCGUAGGCGUGGCCUCAAAGUUGAACCAGAGAAUGGGCCUGGUGUCUGCGACUGCGACUAUGUCGUUUGAAGAGAAGAUAUGACGUGGAGCAAACCGUUCUCUACGAUCAAGAAUGAACAUAAGGGCCGUGUUCGUUUUCACAGUGGGAAUGUUAGUACGGAAAGGAAUGUGCACAUAAACUCCCUGUCUGAGCAUGCCAGCUGGCGUGAGAGAAACCGCCACCUUCGUGGCGAGAACUUGCUCUGGCCGACAUUCUUUGAACAAAUUUAGCCUCGUGCACAGUUUUUCAAGAGCAAGUA
rnacentral:misc_RNA from 1 species